GGUUCGAUUCUGGCUCAGAUUGAACGCUGGCGGGAUGCUUUACACAUGCAAGUCGAACGGCAGCACGGACUUCGGUCUGGUGGCGAGUGGCGAACGGGUGAGUACGUAUCAGAACGUGCCUAGUAGCGGGGAUAACUACGCGAAAGUUUUUGUAGCUAAUACCGCAUACGUACCUCCUUCGGGGAAAGCGGGGGACCUUCGGGCCUCGCACUAUUAGAGUGUCGAUAUCGAUUAGCUAGUUGGUGGGGUAACGGCUCACCAAGGCGACGAUCCGUAGCUGGCUUUGAGAGGACGACCAGCCAGACUGGGACGAGACGGCCCAGAUUCCGGCUGAGGCAGCAGUGUGGGGAAUUUUGGACAAUGGGGGAAACCCUGAUCCAGCCAUCCGUGCAUGAAGGCCUUCGGGUUGUAAAAGCACUUUUGGCAGGAAGAACGGCACGGGAUAAUACCCCGUGCAACUGACGGUACCUGCAGAAUAAGCACCGGCUAACUACGCCAGCAGCCGCGUACACGUAGGGUGGGCAACACCGGAAUUACUGGGCGUAAAGCGUGCGUGGCGUUCGGAAAGAAAGAUGUGAAAUCCCAGAGCUUAACUUUGAACCGUAUUUUUAACUACCGAGCUAGAGUGUGUCAGAGGGAGGUGGAAUUCCGCGUGUAGCAGUGAAUGCGUAGAUAUGAGGAACACCGAUGGCGAAGGCAGCCUGCAUAACACUGACGCUCAUGCACGAAAGCGGGAGCAAACAGGAUUAGAUACUCCUGGUAGUCCACGCCCUAAACGAUGUCAACUAGCUGUUAGCCUUCGGGCCUUUGUAGCAGCAGCUAACGCGUGAAGUUGACCGCCUGGGGAGUACGGUCGGAAACUCAAAGGAAUUGACGGGACCCGCACAAGCGGAUGAUGUGGAUUAAUUGAUGCAACGCGAAAACCCACUCUACCCUUGACAUGUCUUAACCUGAAGAGAUUUGGGAGUGCUCGCAAGAGAACCGGAACACAGGUGCUGCAUAGCUGUCGUCAGCUCGUGUCGUGAGAUGUUGGGUUAAGUCCCGCAACGAGCGCAACCCUUGUCAUUAUUGCUACGAAAGGGCACUCUAAUGAGACUGCCGGUGACAAACCGGAGGUGGAUGAUGUCAAGUCCUCAUGGCCCUUAUGGGUAGGGCUUCACACGUCAUGUACCGGUCGGGACAGAGGGUCGCCAACCCGCGAGGGGGAGCCAAUCCCAGAAACCCGAUCGUAGUCCGGAUCGCAGUCUGCAACUCGACUGCGGAAGUCGGAAUCGCUAGUAAUCGCGGAUCAGCAUGUCGCGGUGAAUACGCUGUUCCGGGUCUUGUACACACCGCCCGUCACACCAUGGGAGUGGGUUUUACCAGAAGUAGUUAGCUCAACCGUAAGGAGGGCGAUUACCACGGUAGGAUUCAGUGCGACUGGGGUGUCAACAAGGUAG
rnacentral:rRNA from 1 species